AGUGAACGCUGGCGGCGUGCUUAACACAUGCAAGUCGAUCGAGAACGGGAUAUAGCUUGCUAUAUUUGUCAGCUAAGUGGCGCACGGGUGAGUAAUGUAUAGAUAACCUGCCCUCUAGAAAGGAAUAACAGUUGGAAACGACUGCUAAUGCCCUAUAUGCCUUUAAUACAUAAGUAUGCAAGGGAAACGCUUUAGUGCUAGAGGAUGGGUCUGUAUGGUAUCAGCUUGUUGGUGAGGUAAUGGCUCACCAAGGCUAUGACGCCUAACUGGUUUGAGAGGAUGAACAGUCAUACUGUAACUGAAACACGUUACAGACUCCUAUGGGAGGCAGCAGUGUGGAAUAUUGCAAAAUGGACGAAAGUCUGAUGCAGCAACGCCGCGUGGAGGAUGACACAUUUCGGUGCGUAAACUCCUUCUAUAUAGGAAGAUAAUGGCGGUACUAUAUGAAUAAGCACCGGCUAACUCCGUGCCAGCCGCCGCGGUAA
rnacentral:rRNA from 1 species